rnacentral:lncRNA from 1 species
AUGCAGCAGAGAAAGAGGGGGGCUUCUGCCAUUAAUAUAUUAUAUAACCACACGUGAAAGCUGGGAAGAAGAAUUAAUUGAGGCAGCCAAUAUUCUACCUUCUUACACACACUUUGGUGCUGAAAUUAAUCUAUAUAAACACUGAAAUUGGAGUCGGCUGAGGGAGUCAAUUACUGCGGCUGCCUGGAAUUGGAAAAAGAGUCAAUAAUUGUGGCUAGUUGGGGGAGAGAAUGGUCGGUGGCUUCAAUUACAAAAGAAACAGAGCAGAAUCAAAGAAACUGCCGGCUGGGACUAUACAAACAGAGAAGGCUGGAGUAAAAUUGAAAAUUCAUCCACGUUCUGUCAAUUAAUCCUAGUGAUGUCUUCCAUGAAUUUAUGUUGCUUUUCUUUCAUUAAUAUGCGUAGUUAAAUUCAGUUUAGGGUGAACAACGUAACUUAUUUGGAACCCUUUAUUUCGUUGAAUUAAGAUUCUAG